CCCCCCACCCGCCCCCCACUAUUAAUUCUUUCUCGGGGUAGUGGGAGGGGAGGCACCCGUAGGACGGCGGGUGGACGCGGGGCUUGCAAUGGGCCCGCGUAGAAACUUGAGUGGCUCUGUGGCCGCUGAAGGCCCCCGAACUGUGAGCCUUGGCAGAGGGACUAGGUGUGCGCGCCGGGCGGAGCGGCGCUGGGUGAAGGUGGGAGGGCCCAGUCCUAAGGCCAAGUGCGCUGGGAAGGCAAACGGGGGAGUUGGAGAAACGAGCUGAAUGCCAUAGGGACUGGUGUUCUACCUCGUGGAACUGCUGGAAGAAUCAGAUGAGAUACUGUGUGUCAUUAGCGUCUUCGUCUUACAGCUGAGGAAUCUGGGGCACAUAGAAGCCUCCAGCGAGAGACUGUGCUGUGUCCACCUGUCAUCUGAGACUGAAAAGCAUUGCCAUCCCGUGGGCUAAGAGGAUGGUGGGACCACAUCACGGAAGGACCUGAGACCCCGAUUGACUACGUGGAGUGGAACUGUUCAGCCCUGCAUCCCGCCAACCUGAACUGACCUGUCAAGGAAGUCAGAAACAAAUUUUCAUCCUGUUAAUGCAUUAAAACUUUGGGUUAUUUGUCCCAGUAGUUGGCCUAUCCUCAUUACUGCAAGAGAGAUGUAAACAUGCGGACUAUCCUGGGCAGCAAUGAAGUGGUUCUUCUUCCCCUGACCCGGCAGUGUGGGAAGGUUGUUGCAGAGCUCUCUUACUGGCUUCCGAUGCCUUUUAAAAAUUACUGGUGAGUGUGAGAGACACUCUAGGAUCUCAAGUCAGCAACAUGCUCCAGAAAAUAACGCUCGUGAAGGCGGCUGAGUUGCUAGUGAUUUAACUGAGUAAAUAAACAGCAUAGGAAAAAAAGAUCCCAGUGAUUGCUGGGGUGUGUACUCAGUUAGGGGUCAGGUGUGGGAGGUCAAACUGGAGCAAUCUGGAAAGCUUUUCUAUGUGUCCUGCCCCUCCAAAGCUAGAAGAAAGGAAGCUAAAGCAGAUACUGAUUUGAUGGCACCUUCUUUCUUCUAGCAGCAGUGUGUGAUGUCCUUCUGUUUCUUCAGUGAAAAACUCUAGGGGAAAGGGAACUCAGAAUGAGAUCAAGAUAAACUUUCCCAGGAUCUCUGGGAUGCUGAAAGUGACUGCGGUGUCUCCGUGGGAAUCUGAAUGAAACCGAGGGUCAUCCACAGUGUAUCUGUAUCUUUGGACUGUAUUUUGUUUAGACAGGGAACAAUCUAGUCAGUGAUCUAUACAUUCACCCCCAGUGGCCAUUUGGGUUCCUUGCCCCGCUGCCUUCCUGGGGGAGAAGGAAGAUAUUUAUCCUCCCACAGGGUUUGUUUCUUUGCUUUAAUAGAACACACUGAUCUCGAAACAAUAAAGCCAGUUACAGAUUAACUGA